GAUGAACGCUGGCGGCGUGCCUAAUACAUGCAAGUCGAGCGAACAGAUGAGGAGCUUGCUCCUCUGACGUUAGCGGCGGACGGGUGAGUAACACGUGGAUAACCUACCUAUAAGACUGGGAUAACUACGGGAAACCGGAGCUAAUACCGGAUAAUAUGUUGAACCGCAUGGUUCAAUAGUGAAAGACGGUUUUGCUGUCACUUAUAGAUGGAUCCGCGCCGCAUUAGCUAGUUGGUAAGGUAACGGCUUACCAAGGCAACGAUGCGUAGCCGACCUGAGAGGGUGAUCGGCCACACUGGAACUGAGACACGGUCCAGACUCCUACGGGAGGCAGCAGUAGGGAAUCUUCCGCAAUGGGCGAAAGCCUGACGGAGCAACGCCGCGUGAGUGAUGAAGGUCUUCGGAUCGUAAAACUCUGUUAUUAGGGAAGAACAAAUGUGUAAGUAACUAUGCACGUCUUGACGGUACCUAAUCAGAAAGCCACGGCUAACUACGUG
rnacentral:rRNA from 1 species